rnacentral:misc_RNA from 1 species
UAACUGCGAUACUUAGUGCGAACUGCAGAUAUUUUGAGCACUGAGGCUUCUAAUGCACAUUGCGCCAUCGGAGCAACACCUUUGGCACAUCUGGUUCAGGGUUGUCUAAUCGAAACGAACGCCUCUUCGUUCACACGGUGGGAUCACGGCUCAGGCAGUGUUCCCGCCUCUUGUCGCUUGUUUGGCCUGAUGUUCCGCUCGAUUGCGGUACGGCCCAAACAGCGAACAUAUAAGAGCCAGGCAACGCGCUCGCCAGCCGGCGGCAGUCAAUCACAGCCGUCGAUUGCUCUGUCGCACGCUUGUUCGGCUGGCGGCGCAUAGCCGUAGAGGGCUCUCGCUACAGCGACCUGAACUCAGGUGAGAUCACCUGCUGAACUUAA